AAAUUCUUAUCGAGUUCUCCUCUCAUUUUUUCUUCUCUUCUAACCCUAAACCUUGAUUUCCGAAAUCAAACCAAAGCUUUCAGAAAUUCAAACCCAUUUCUCCUAAACGCUAGUCUCAUAAAUCAAAACCCAUAUUUCGGAAAUCAAAUCCAAUCUUUCAAUUACCCAAACCCUAGAAAUCGAUUCUGUAAGACGUGCUUGGUUCCAACCUGAACUUUCCUUCUCUAGUGAUGAACUAAUAGAUCGUGUAGGAUUCCAAAUGAGCAUCCUAGCAGAAUACAUGAGAGAGCUGAUCCAAUUGAUGAGGAGUCGAGUGCUGGGACUAAGGAUUACGUUCACCUAUGAAUUGACAUUUAUUAAAGGCUUGAAAAGAACUCUAGUUACAACAAGAUUAUCAGAGACCCCAAGAAGAAAUCCUGCGAUGCUAGUAUUGCUCUCCAGGUCUCAAAGUUAGGCCAGGUCAUUCACUUUCCUAGUUCAGACUUCUUCCACCAACAUAUUUGUGGUAUGGCCGAAGAAUAUGCUUAAAAUGAUAUGUUCUAGGAUAUAAUGAAGUUCUAUUUUUCGGUGGCUAGUGGGGAUUUCCUUCAUUUGGAUUUAAUCUCUUGUGAUUCAGUGGCACAGUACAAAUAUAUACUGGUGGUGAGUGACGCACAACUGAAUGGAACACAAAUAUAUACCCUGUAGUCUUAAUUAUAUAUCAAGUGUGCAUGUUUUUUUCCCGUCACAUGCUUGUUACUGUCGUAUCUGGAGUACGGCAUAGGAAGGCCUCUUGUUCCUCUGUAGACAUCAUACAUUUUGGAGGUUGAGGUAAAAUACUUUCUAAAGUUUUACUUGUUAUCAUUUCUUCCAACUCGUUAUUACCAUGAUACUUUUGGGAGGGAUCAGCUUUUAGAAAUUGGGUGUCAUAACUAGAUCAAUCACUUUGUUUAUUAGUUUAUAUAUACUAUUGCCAUGACUGGACAAUUAUUAUGUUUUUACUAUCCAUACCUAAUGGUUUUCAUGGACUAUAGGGACUAAAUGAAACAAAAAGUCAAACGUGGAGAUGAGGAAUAUCCUCAUUUCUUUUUGGUGCAGGAAACUUUGGUAUGUUUGUCCGUUAAUAAUCAUUUGGAACUUACCAAGCAAACAGCAUAUUACGUUUAUCCCUUAAUGAAACAAUCCCACCACCAUUCUCCAAGAUCAACACCAUGGUUAGAUAACGUAACUUACACUCAUUUAAUAUCCAUUUUCAUUUAUAAAAGAAGUGAUAUAAUUUAUUUCACUGUAAGAGUCGUGGUCUUACAGUGAAGUGUGACGUGCAUGAUGAAAAUAAGCGAUUCCAGUGGGUUGGGUUUGUAGUUAAGGAGUAUGUUGAUGAUAACCUGACUCUGGUCCUGGGUUGUUCUUGGAUUGUGUUUUUUCCUUGCUGUAAUUUGUAUGUGAAGGGACAAAAAUAAAUAAAUUAACAUUGGAAAUUACUCUUUUGAAUCGUCUCGAACCUGUAUCUAUAAUCCUCUCGAAACUAUUAUAGAUUUUCCUUUUGAUUUUGACUGUCUAUGUGUUUGAAGGUGACGAUUUUUCAAGAGUGCAAGCUAAAAAAUGGAAGCUCUUUGCUGAACCUUUUUCGGAAGCGAAGGAUCAGCUCAGGGAUUGUAGUUUUCAAAAGCGCAAGCUAAUUUUAGAGGAUUUCAGUCUUCAGGUCUCGAUGGGAUAUUUUGGAAAUUCACUCAAGAAUAAUGAACUUGAUGUGUGGAAUUAAUUUAAAGAAGAUAUUGCAGAGAAGAUGGGCAGAGCAUCUGGAAUGGAGCUAAAGAAUGCUGAAUACAUGUUCUUGAAGUCGAGCAAAGGUGAUAUGUUAGGGGAGAGCAUUAUAUAUUGAACUUCACCACCAGACAACCAACGUCCGCCAAGUAAUUACUCUGUUGAGUUCUUUUUGAUUUUAUCCUCUGAACCAUAAAUUAAAUUAGUGUCAAGUCUUAGUUCUGUCGAUAAACUGUUGAAAUUUUAUAUCAACUCCAAGUAGCAUUGUCCUGUACAUGCUUCAGACCUUGUUAUGAAUAUUGUAAUUAACAUGCAGGUUUAAGUAUCUAUAUAUCUAGAAUGUUCAGAGAGGGUUCUGUAAUACAGGAUUUUGAAAUAUACAAAUAUUGUAAUUUUUUUUUUAA